UGACUUAGUAUUUUGUUGAGA
ensembl:piRNA 21ur-1148 ncRNA